AGGUUAGCUCUUCACUGCCCUGUGUCUUCUUUCCAAGGGUCUCGGUGAUUCGGCCACAGCCUCAGCCUCCAUCACGCGGUGAACUGAUGGUGCUGGAAGAUUCAUAGACUCCAGGACAUUCCUGAAGCCGAGAAAAGGUUAAGUAGGGUCUGGCCUGGAAUACUCUCCUAGAUGAAGAUAGCCCAACCAUGAGCCACCUUCGAAGCAGAUGAGAUGAAAUUAAAGCUCUUCAACUCCUAAAGGCCCAGAGACUAUCACAAAAGAGGUCAGAAAUCCUGAAGGUCACUUUCUGACAAACUCAGGAACCCCAGGUUUAUCUUGGAGCCUCAAGAGGAGAUAAAUUCACCCAACUCAGGCUGGAGUGCAGUGGAAUGAUCUUGGCUCACUUCCGUCUCCGCCUUCCAGUUUCAAGUGAUUCUCCUGCCUCAGCCUACUGAGUAGUUGGGAUUACAGGUGCCUGCCACCACACCCAGCUAAUUUUUGUAUUUUUAGUAAAGAUGGGGUUUCACCAUGUUGGCCAGGCUGGUCUCAAACUCCUGACGUCAUGAUCUGCCCGCUUCAGUCUCCCAAAGUGUGAUUACAGAGUGAGGCUGGCUGGGGGAGCCUGGGCUCCUCUGUCCUCCCCGAGGUGGCAGUGGCUGAUGUCUGCUCAGGUGUGAGGGGGUGCUGCCAUCCUCUGGGCCUGAGGCUGCCUGGCCCAGCCCCUCCUAACUCCCUGGACUCUUCCACGGUGUCUUCAGGCCCCUACACCAUCCUUUGUGUAAGGGGAGGUGGCAGCAUAGAGAUGAUGGGGGAACUGCCCCAUGUGCCAAGGAAAGCUCACCCAUCUGUG
rnacentral:lncRNA from 1 species